GAUGAACGCUAGCGGCAGGCCUAACACAUGUAAGUCGAGGGAGAAGCCCUUCGGGGCAGAAACCGGCGCACGGGUGCGUAACGCGUAUGCAACCUACCUUUCACAGGGGGAUAGCCCGAAGAAAUUUGGAUUAAUACCCCAUAAUAUUGCGAGAUGGCAUCAUUUUGCAAUUAAAACUAUGGUGGUGAGAGAUGGGCAUGCGUCCUAUUAGCUAGUUGGAGUGGUAACGGCACCCCAAGGCUACGAUAGGUAGGGGUCCUGAGAGGGAGAUCCCCCACACUGGUACUGAGACAGGGACCAGACUCCUACGGGAGGCAGCAGUGAGGAAUAUUGGUCAAUGGUCGGAAGACUGAACAGCCAUGCCGCGUGCAGGAAGAAUGCCUUAUGGGUUGUAAACUGCUUUUAUAUGGGAAGAAUAAGGAGUACGAGUACUUNGANGACGGUNCCA
rnacentral:rRNA from 1 species